GACGAACGCUGGCGGCGUGCUUAACACAUGCAAGUCGAACGGAAGGGCCCUGCUUUUGUGGGGUGCUCGAGUGGCGAACGGGUGAGUAACACGUGAGUAACCUGCCCUUGACUUUGGGAUAACUUCAGGAAACUGGGGCUAAUACCGGAUAGGAGCUCCUGCUGCAUGGUGGGGGUUGGAAAGUUUCGGCGGUUGGGGAUGGACUCGCGGCUUAUCAGUUUGUUGGUGGGGUAGUGGCUUACCAAGGCUUUGACGGGUAGCCGGCCUGAGAGGGUGACCGGCCACAUUGGGACUGAGAUACGGCCCAGACUCCUACGGGAGGCAGCAGUGGGGAAUAUUGCACAAUGGGCGGAAGCCUGAUGCAGCAACGCCGCGUGCGGGAUGACGGCCUUCGGGUUGUAAACCGCUUUCGCCUGUGACGAAGCGUGAGUGACGGUAAUGGGUAAAGAAGCACCGGCUAACUACGU
rnacentral:rRNA from 1 species